rnacentral:rRNA from 1 species
UACAGAGGUCUCAAGCGUUGUUCGGAUUCAUUGGGCGUAAAGGGUGCGUAGGUGGCGUGGUAAGUCGGGUGUGAAAUUUCGGAGCUUAACUCCGAAACUGCAUCCGAUACUGCCGUGCUUGAGGACUGGAGAGGAGACUGGAAUUUACGGUGUAGCAGUGAAAUGCGUAGAGAUCGUAAGGAAGACCAGUGGCGAAGGCGGGUCUCUGGACAGUUCCUGACACUGAGGCACGAAGGCCAGGGGAGCAAACGGG